rnacentral:rRNA from 1 species
UACAGAGGUCUCAACCGUUGUUCGGAUUCAUUGGGCGUAAAGGGUGCGUAGGCGGUCGGGUAAGUCGGAUGUGAAAUCUCAGGGCUCAACCCUGAAACUGCAUUCGAUACUGCCUGGCUAGGGUACUGGAGAGGAGACUGGAAUUUACGGUGUAGCAGUGAAAUGCGUAGAUAUCGUAAGGAAGACCAGUGGCGGAAGGCGAGUCUCUGGACAGUUACCGACGCUGAGGCACGAAGGCCAGGGGAGCAAACGGG